rnacentral:rRNA from 1 species
CAGUAAUGUUGCGAUGAUCUGCUCUAGUUGUGUAAGAUAACCGCGGAAACCUGUGGCUAAGAGACUAGAAUGAGACGCAACCCUAUCAGUUUGUUGGUAGUGUAACGGACUACCAAGACUAUGACGGGUGACGGGAAAUCAGUGUUUGAUUCCGGAGAGGGAGCCUGAGAGAUGGCUCCCACGUCCAAGGAUGGCAGCAGGCGCGAAAAUUGUCCACUCUUUGUUGAGGAGACAGUUAUGAGGCGUGAUUGUAAGAGCGAAGAGUAAACAUCUUUGUGUAAUGCAACUAGAGGGCAAGUUUUGGUGCCAGCAGCCGCGGUAACUCCAACUCUAGAAGUGCCUAUUGUGGAUGCUGCAGUUAAAAAGUCCGUAGUCGUUGAUGCAAUUAAAAGGUGUAGAUCAAGUGCACCAAGUUUGUUAGUUGUGGCGGAGCGGACAGGGAGCAUGGUAUAGGUUGGCGAAGAAUGAAAUCUCAAGACCCAACCUGGACCAACUGAGGCGAAAGCGGUGCUCUUGUACGCGUCUGUGGAUCAAGGACGAAGGCUAGAGGAUCGAAAGUGAUUAGACACCGCUGUAGUUCUAGCAGUAAACUAUGCCGACAUUCUCUGUUGUUGAGACGGGGAGGGGAGAAAUCUUAGUUUUCGGGCUCUGGGGAUAGUACGCUUGCAAGAGUGAAACUUAAAGCGAAAUUGACGGAAGAUCACCACAAGGAGUGGAUUGUACUGCUUAAUUUGACUCAACACGGGAAAACUUACCAGGGCCAAGUCUCUCGUAGAUUGGCGACAUGAGAGGGGCAAGAGUGGUGCAUGGCCGUUGGAAAUUGAUGGGAUGACCUUUAGCUUAAGUGCUGUAACCAGUGAGAUCUUCUAGACAGGUGUCUUACUGACACAGGAAGGAGAAGGCUAUAACAGGUCCGUGAUGCCCUCAGAUGCCCUGGGCCGCAAGUGCAAUACAAUAUCCGUUUGAGCGACAUAAAUAUGCUUACGGAUGAGUAGGAUUAGCUCUUGUAAAUGAGCUAUGAAUGAGGAAUUCCUAGUAACUGUGUCUCAUCAAGGCACAGUGAAUGCGUCCCUGUUCUUUGUACACACCGCCCGUCACUAUUGCGGAUGGCAAUCAAGA